CUUUUUCUCUUCUCCAUUCCUCCGCCAUCGUGCGCGCUAUUCUUGAUUCGGCUUCUCGCCAUGUCUUCUCACAAGACUUUCCGAAUCAAGCGAUUCCUGGCCAAGAAACAAAAGCAAAAUCGCCCUAUUCCUCAGUGGAUCCGGAUGAAAACUGGCAACAAAAUCAGGUACAACUCUAAGAGAAGACACUGGAGGAGAACGAAGCUGGGUCUGUAAGGAUUCACACAAUGGCAAGACUGAGGAUUUAUACUGAAUUGUCAUCAAUCAGUCCUACCAGAUGGAUUUCAACAUUUAAACCUGGAGACUUUUCGUGUCUUGAAUUAGGAUGUUUGUCCAGUAAUAAAAUAUAGAACCUUUC
rnacentral:lncRNA from 1 species